CCCCUUGCAUUAUUGGUUUAGUUUUGGAUAAAGGUUGUGUGGUUUCAUAAAAACCCAUGCUCUCUGGCAUCUCAAGCUUUUUUUUUCCCCAAAUGAGGCAAUCACCAAUGGUUCCCCCUUUGACAAACCAAUUAGAAACACAUGAUUGACAGUUCCUUAUGAACUUCCUUAAUUUGAACUAUAUUAACAGCCAGUCCUCGCCAGUCCAGACAUAUCUAGUAGCUUGCAUGACAGCAGAUCCGGCAGUGAUCAUGAAAACAACUGUUCACCAGAUGAUUGGACUGACUUUGUUUGCAGCCAUCCUGUCUUCCUCUACCUUGGCGGCUGUUGACUCAAAACUGCCAACUUGCUGCACAAAGACCAGCCCAGCUCACUUAAAAGAAGAAGUAUCAAAAUGCAUCAUCCAUCCAAAAACGGAGCGGUGUGCUCAUGCAGUACAAUUUUUGGCUGAAAAUGGGAAAACCUACUGCAGUGGCCCCAAAGCCAGAUGGGUUCAGUUAAAGAUACAACAUCUGGCAAAGAAUGGUACACCAUGCCAGGAUCUGGUGAAGAAAGACCAUAGAGGGAAGAGGAGAUUAACUGGGCAAUAAACAAAUUUUUAUCAUCAUCCAUGCUUUUAAAAACCUUAAAAAGUUUUCAUGUAGUGCAGAUGCUAGAGCAAUUAUGAUUGUGAAUGACAUUUUUUUAUUUAUCAAUUUAUUUAUAAUACUUUGUGUUUUUGCAAUGUCUAUUGUGCACAUCUUUGUAUAACCUUGAUAUUUAAUUACAG
rnacentral:lncRNA from 1 species